rnacentral:rRNA from 1 species
UACGAAGGGGGCUAGCGUUGUUCGGAAUCACUGGGCGUAAAGGGCGCGUAGGCGGCUUUAUAAGUCGGGGGUGAAAGCCUGUGGCUCAACCACAGAAUUGCCUUCGAUACUGUAGAGCUUGAGACCGGAAGAGGUAAGUGGAACUGCGAGUGUAGAGGUGAAAUUCGUAGAUAUUCGCAAGAACACCAGUGGCGAAGGCGGCUUACUGGUCCGAUACUGACGCUGAGGUGCGAAAGCGUGGGGAGCAAACAGG